ncrna:unclassified sequences L31-Actinobacteria ribosomal protein leader
GAGGUUCCGGUUCACGUCCAAUAGCUCAUCAGGGCGACCCGGCGACC